rnacentral:lncRNA from 11 species
UGCAUGGUGCUGCAACCACAGCUGCACCGACUAAAAGACUUGAUAGGAUGACCUUUUCUUGCUUGUGGUGGUCACAGUUGGGUGCAAUUAGUCCAUCUGGGCUGAUUUUGGCAAAUACCCAGCAACCGCAACAGCAGGAGUUUCACCUGACCUUUUGAGCCCGGAGCAGCAAAGGAAGAAGUCAGCUUCAAUUGGCCAAGAAAAGGCAAGGAAACAUUAGCACAGGCUCCAAACAUUGGGUAGAAAAGUCCCUAGGCCGGGCAUUUUUGGGCUGACACUGGAAUCUACAGCUGGACAUCUGGAUGAACAGCUGGUGACAAAUUGGAGAUUACCUGCUUUGAGAUGUGGAAUUAAGUCCAUUGUUAGCCUCAACUGGAAAGCUUUUGAGGUGAUUUAUUAUCAGAUCUGUCAAAAUCAGGAUUUGAUUGGGAUAUUCGGAGAGGUAACAAGACCCACAGUAAGGACAGAGAACGCAAGGCAGAUAAGGAGUGUCACGCUUGGCUUUCUUUUGGGACACAGCAGCCAAUGCGUUUCACCAUCCACCAGACCCUCCUUGCCCCUGAAUCUAUUUUUAGGCUGUGCAAUAAAAUUAACACUUUGUUUAAGCACUCAAUGACUUCCUUCCUAAAUGCCUGCCCUUUAAAAGGCCAACUGUGACUCUCCCAGGGAUUCAGGGAAUUGCUAUAAAUUUUUACACCCCUUUCAGCAGUUCGCACAUUGCUGUUCCAAGUUUUAUUAUUUUCGUUAUUACCAAAACUAUUUUCAGAUGAUGACUGUGUCCUUAUGUCCGAGACAGAGAGAAAGAAUGUUGUGGUUCCUUAAAGAUAAAUAUGUUUUGUUUAGCAUAACUAUGGAAAUAGGUUACAAUCCACAAAAGCUCAUCCCAGAUAAAAUGUUACCCUGCAAGAUGCUACAACCCUUGUAGAUGUUGCUAUUUUUUAACCUCAUACUUAUCCUCAAAGGGUGCCCAAGAAUAACUUAGAAGAGAAAAAAAAGUUGUACUGGAUUUUAUGCAUUCAUUACAAAUACUGUAUUGUCCCAUUGUAACAUCAAUAAAGCCUGUAGAAAACUAAUAAUCAAUUUAUAGUAGUAGAAGAAGACGUACAUUAGGGGACAGAAAAAAGGGCCUCACUUAAAGAUCUCAAAACAUGGCAGGUUCAUGAGGGAAUAUUUAUGUUUGUGUCUAUGUGCCUUCAAUUUGCCUGUGGAUUUACAUCAAUUCUAUGAAUGUCAUACAGCAAGGGUGUCAAACCCAUUUUCAUUGAGAGCCACAUCAGUCUUAUAGUUGCAAAGGGCUGAUGAAUCCAUAAUCCGUGGAUAGAGAGGGCCACAUAGUGCUUAGUGCUCUUUAGUCUUUACACAAUUUGCAUCCCCAGAUGUUAUGAACGGCAACUCACAUUACUUUUGAUUAUUCGCCAUGUGGACUGCGGAUGAUGGUGAAAGGACCAUAAACCAGAAAAUAGUAGACUUUUGCAUAUAUAGCUUUGCUUCUGCAUAUAUCAUAUUAUAGACAAUGUGUGUAACAAAGCCAGGGUAGUGUGUGUAACUAGCUCUUUGAGCUGGUACCUUUCUCUAGAAAGUUCCAAGGACAGAAGCUAGUUCGGAGUAAAUAAGUGAGAUCACAAACACCACUUUGUGCCAAAGAGGUGUGGAGGUGAAGACACCCUCAGUAAUUAGUCAAGUUUAGAUAAACCAAGAUAUAUAUUCUUUGUUUACUGCGCCACGCUUCGCAGAAGCCAUUUGCAAGUACAGACGUUUGGUGUGUGUAUGGCUGUUUUGCCUUUCUCAUAGCUAUGAUGAAAAUAAACUUUGCUUUUGUACUCUCAUGAGACUAGAUUUCUGUCUGAUUGCCUCCUGUGCCAGAAC